rnacentral:rRNA from 1 species
UACGAAGGGGGCUAGCGUUGCUCGGAAUUACUGGGCGUAAAGGGAGCGUAGGCGGACAUUUAAGUCAGAGGUGAAAUCCCGGAGCUUAACUUCGGAACUGCCUUUGAUACUGGGUGUCUUGAGUGUGAGAGAGGUAUGUGGAACUCCGAGUGUAGAGGUGAAAUUCGUAGAUAUUCGGAAGAACACCAGUGGCGAAGGCGUCAUACUGGCUCAUUACUGACGCUGAGGCUCGAAAGCGUGGGGAGCAAACAGG